AACAUUCGUAUCAGCCACAGCGAUUUGAUUUUUAUCAAUACUUCUGAAUUCACCACCAUUCAAAGUAAUCGCACCAGCCAUUAAUAACGUAAUGGUGGAUAAUUUUUGCCAUUUCUU
rnacentral:sRNA from 1 species